rnacentral:lncRNA from 10 species
CAAAAUUAAAACCUGCACAAAAAGUUGGUAUCAGAACAAACAAUAUUGACAGUUUAUAUUUCAAGAGUAUUUUUGUCUGAGGAAAUCAAUCAUUCUACAGACAUGACCUCAUUCUGAUCUCUCAGGUAGGAAAAGGACAGUCCUGCCUUCCUCUUAAGAUCCUCAAAGGACUCAUGGUGACGACCAGGCUGUAAGAUCCACAAGAGUAGAGACAAUUGCUGGCCGUGCUUAUCACUGUGGACCCAAAGCCUGAAGUAGCAUCUGGUUCAUUAAACACAUGAUGAAUAUAUGUUGAAUAACUAAAUGAAUGAAAACACCGUUCUUCAAGCUCCCACUAACACCUUACCACUCUCUACCAUGUCAACUUAUUUUAUUAUAACAAUUGCUCAUCAUUAAACCGUAUGGUCCUGGAAGAAAAAGACUGUUUUUAAGUCUAUAAAGUCAUAUUUAUAUGUGAAAUCAUAAUUACAUCCCCAUAACACAAUGUCCUGCAUAUGGUAGAUAUUCAGUUAUUCAGAAUGAGAAAAAUGGAAUGAGUGAAUGAAUUGCUAUAUGGGCAGGGCAGCUUGCCAGUG